rnacentral:tRNA from 1 species
GGAGAGGUGUCCGAGCGGUUUAUGGAGCUGGUCUUGAAAACCAGUGAUACUGAAUAAGUACCGAGGGUUCGAAUCCCUCCCUCUCCG